UCAUGUUUUUAACACGGCAAUG
rnacentral:siRNA from 1 species